UCGCCUUUCUCGCCUCUCCUCCGGAUCUCAGCCACCAGCCACGGUAGCAUGGGCAGCGUGGUCCGCCUGUCCAGCGAGGACCAGCCGACCGUCUUGGAGGCGGAGCGGCUGUGAGCCCAACCAUCCCAUGUGCUGCUGGAGGAGUGGGCUGGGCAGAGCCGCUGUGAGAAACGUGACAGGACAGGAGGCUCCACCUUUCCCCACUGAGCAUAAUAACUGGAAAGCUUCUUCCAUGGCAAUGUGGAAAGUGUUUUGAGACCCUACGGCAGGAGUCCCCCCCCCCCGGACAUAAAUCAUACUACCUACCUGCGAAGUGCCUUCACCAGGUGUCCCAGGAGGUUCUGAAAAGGAGCCUUGAUGACCUGGCUUUUCCAAAUUGGCAACACAAUGAAUCAUUACGAUUAGUUUAAAAAAAAAAAAAAAAAAAAGCACUUCUUAGUGUAUAAGCAGGUUGUGCUGAAUAAUAGCUUUGGAUGAUUCAAAUCACAUGAUACGCUUUGUGCACUAGAGGAGUUCCCACAUACCAAAUGCCAUAAUUCCAAGAACUCCACCUAUCCCAAAAAUAGUAACUGUGCCAUAUACAACCUCCUCACUGAGGCAGGAUACGCUCACUGCACUGCUGGAAGGGGUCCUGACAUGUUUCCAUUCUGCAGGAUAGACCACUAAAUAGACACACUUCAGGUCAGAGACCCCCUUUUGAAAAAAACAUAUUUUGUUUUUGUUCUUUGGGUUUUCAUAUCACAUUGAAUUAUCACUGUGUGAAAACAAUCAGUGAGAUCUUGGGUUAUAAUAAGCAUCGUGCAUAAUUAAAGCAUAUCUCAUUUUACUGUGGACCCUCUGGACUCCCCUCUAGAGUGCUCAGAGGCUGUUAGACUAGAAAAUUACACAAAAGUAGGUCAGAUUCAGUUCUGUGUGGAUUCUACAUUUACAGAGUAAUUAGAUGGAAAACAGUGACACUAACUUACAGGAUUAAAUUGAUUUGGUGUAUAAUUGUGUUUACUUCAACUUGUUCUGGGCUAUGAAGUUGGGAUUAAAUAACCAUGCAAUGAAGGUUUACACUUAAUAUUUAUUUUAUGCAUCACUGUUGCAUAACAUCAAAGUAAAUAUGGAGAAAAAGUAAAAGAAAGGCACAGACAUACUUACAAACAUAUAGUAUGCAUAACACAAACAGCAUUGAAUCUUCAUGAUGGAGACAUUAAAAGGAAGCAUGAAGUCUACAGCAGUUAAUGUGGAUAUUUUAACGUAAUAUGUUUUUCAUUGCAAACAAA